rnacentral:rRNA from 1 species
UACGUAGGGGGCAAGCGUUGUCCGGAUUUACUGGGCGUAAAGAGCGUGUAGGCGGCCAUGCAGGUCCGUUGUGAAAACUGGAGGCUUAACCUCCAGACGUCGACGGAAACCGCGUGGCUAGAGUCCGGAAGAGGCGAGUGGAAUUCCUGGUGUAGCGGUGAAAUGCGCAGAUAUCAGGAGGAACACCGAUUGCGAAGGCAGCUCGCUGGGACGUUACUGACGCUGAGACGCGAAAGCGUGGGGAGCAAACAGG